rnacentral:lncRNA from 1 species
CUACCUCGCCUCUUGCUCUGGCUUGGCUCAUAUAUCUCUUAUAUCAAAUACCCUGUAUGCUUAGUAUUAGUGAUGCAGAGUAUAAGACCGGAUUGAGAGUCACCAACAACAAGAACUGCAUUAGCAUCAGCAGGAAUUGAUUCUGAUCCGGAUACUUAUUAUAGAGGCCCGACCUAACCUACAAAGAAAGUCUGCCCUGAACAACCCUAAAGAUAUUGGUGUCAAAUGAACUAUUUCAUCACUUUUGGAGUUUGAUGGUCUUACCCCGACCCUACCUCUGUUAUUGAUAACUUGACUAGCUGCCUCGCCUC